rnacentral:tRNA from 1 species
GCUCCCGUAGUAUAGCAGCCAAGUAUUCGGCCUUCUCAGGGCUGAGACCCGGGUGCGAAUCCCGGCGGGAGCA